CUAAAGACCUGUUCCUAUGUUUAUAAGAAACCUGAUGGGUCCUUGUAUACAAGCUCAAGAGGAAGCUGGAAAUGCUUUUAAGAAGCCUGUGGGUCCUUGUACAAAGCCCAAGAGGAGGCUAAUCGAGGGUCCUUGUUAUAGCACAAGAGAAAGCUUAUGUAGUUUUGAACUUAUUUUGGCUCUAAGCAAAUGGGUAAGAGGUUUCACCGGGAAUAAUUCCUCUUUGGGUGGAUGUGUCCUAUUACUUUUGGAUUCUAAGGUUUUUGCCAAGAUGUUUCACCGGGAAUAAUUCAUCUUGGGGGUUUGAACUACAGAUCUCUAAUUAGGAAAGAGCCUUCACCGGGAAGACAUUCUCAAUCCUAGUAAUUUAAACAAAGACUGUAAAUUGAAAGCUUGUAAAGCCUAACCUGGAUGGAGUGGAGGCCAUUGAAGAAAAGAAGUGAAGAUGGACAAAGGUCACAUAGGUAUCUGAAGAGUUUCACCGGGAAUAAUGCCCUUCAAAUACCAGAAGAAUGUUUUUGAAAACAGAAAGAAGAUUUUGAAAAUACAGUUUUGAAAACAAGCUAAGAAGAGAAGGUUUUUGGGACUUACACUCUAUUAGAGGCCCACUUAAAAAUGAUUUACUGUUUAUGAAAACAGUUGAAGAAAAGAUUGAAAUGAUAUAAGGUUUUGUUGUUUGAAAACCUUAAUCAUAUGUUUAAUCGGAGAUUGAAAACAAUUUUGUAGAUUGACAAAAGUCAACUUAAUUAAGGCAAAGAUGAAAUCUAUACCUAAUUAAGACCUAA